GCCAUAUAUCAUUGAAACACCGCUUCCCGUACGAUCACUGAAGUUAAGCAACGUCGAGUCUAGUCAGUACCAAGAUGCUUGACCACUUAAGAAAACCAAUUGCUGUAAG